AGUUUGACUGGGGCGGUCGCCUCCGAAAGGGUAUCGGAGGCGCUCAAAGGUUCCCUCAGGAUGGUUGGAAACCAUCCAGAGAGUGCAAAGGCAUAAGGGGGCUUGACUGCGAGACUGACGGGUCGAGCAGGUACGAAAGUAGGACUUAGUGAUCCGGUGGUAUGAAAGUGGGAUUGCCAUCGCUCAACGGAUAAAAGCUACCCUGGGGAUAACAGGCUUAUCANNNNNNNNNNCUUAUCACUCCCAAGAGUUCACAUCGACGGAGUGGUUUGGCACCUCGAUGUCGGCUCAUCGCAUCCUGGGGCUGUAGCAGGUCCCAAGGGUUGGGCUGUUCGCCCAUUAAAGCGGUACGCGAGCUGGGUUCAGAACGUCGUGAGACAGUUCGGUCCCUAUCCGGCGCGGGCGUAGGAUAUCUGAGAGGAGCUGUCCUUAGUACGAGAGGACCGGGAUGGACAGACCGCUGGUGCAUCUGUUGGCAUACCAAUGCCAUGGCAGAGUAGCCAAGUCUGGACGGGAUAAACGCUGAAGGCAUCUAAGCGUGAAGCCCCCCUCAAGAUGAGAUAUCCCAUGCGUAGGCAGUAAGACCCCUUGUAGACGACGAGGUGGAUAGGUUAGAGGUGGAAGUGCAGCAAUGUACGGAGCUGACUAAUACUAAUCGGUCGAGGGCUUAACCAGAA
rnacentral:rRNA from 1 species